AACCAUAGAAACCUGCGGAGUACCUGCGGAGGGAUCAUUAUCGAGUUGCAAAACUCCAACCCUUUGUGAACAUACCUCAGUCGUUGCUUCGGCGGUGGACGGCCUUUUUUCGAAAAGGCCCGAAGCCGCCGGAGGUUCCAAACUCGUGUUUUGUUUAGUGUAUCUCUGAGCCUGAAAACAAAUAAUCAAAACUUUUAACAACGGAUCU
rnacentral:misc_RNA from 1 species